CGAUUAACCUGGUUGAUCCUGCCAGUAGUCAUAUGCUUGUCUUAAAGAUUAAGCCAUGCAUGUCUAAGUAUAAGAAUUUUAUAUUUUCGAAACUGCGAAUGGCUCAUUAAAUCAGUUAUAAUUUAUUUGAUGGUCUUUCCACUUGGAUACCAGUGGCAAAUCUAGUGCUAAUACAUGCAUAAAAUCUUGACCCUUUUGGGAAGAGAUGUAUUUAUUAGAUUCAAAAGCCAAUACCUCUUUCGGGGGGUUAUUAAUAUGGUGAAUCAUGAUAACUUAACGAAUCGUAUGGUCUCGCACCGACGAUAGUUCAUUCAAAUAUCUGCCCUAUCAACUUUCGAUGGUAGUAUAGAGGACUACCAUGGUGGUAACGGGUAACGGAGAAUCAGGGUUUGAUUCCGGAGAAGGAGCCUGAGAAACGGCUACUACUUCCAAGGAAGGCAGCAGGCGCGCAAAUUACCCAAUCCCGACACGGGGAGGUAGUGACAAAAAAUAACAAUAUCGAUGUUUUUACAACUUUGAUAAUUGGAAUGAGUACAAUCUAAAACCUUUAACGAGUAUCAAUUGGAGGGCAAGUCUGGUGCCAGCAGCCGCGGUAAUUCCAGCUCCAAUAGCAUAUAUUAAAGUUGUUGCAGUUAAAAAGCUCGUAGUUGGAUUUUGAAAUGUUAUAAAACAACCCGCUUUUGUAAGUGUGUUUUUGUUGUUUUAUAUCUUUCUCCUUACUAGACUUUCACUAUUGUUCUUCAUUGAUCGAUAGUUUCAUCUCUUUUUUGGGGGUGAGUGAUGGUUAGACCUCUUGGGUUUAGGAUUGUGGAUGAUUGCUUCGGUGAUUGUUCUGCUUAGAUUCAAGAACUAACCAUUAGAAAUCUAGUUCUUUUACUUUGAGUAAAUUAGAGUGNUCAAGGCAAGCAAAUUAUUAUUUGUUGCAAUGAAUACUAUUAGCAUGGGAUAAUGGNACAGGACACGUAUUCUAGUUUUCUGUUGGUUUCUAGAAUUUUUUGGCUCUUUCGAGGGUCAGUANUGUAAUGAUUAAAAGGNCAGUNGGGGGCAUUCGUAUUUCAUUGUCAGAGNUGAAAUUCUUGGUUUUUGAAAAAGAACUUCUGCGAAAGCAUUUGUCAAAGAUGUUUCAUAAUCAAGNACGAAANUAGGNGAUNGAAGACGAUCAGNUACCGUCGUAGUNUUACCCUAACUAUGCCGACCAGGGAUNNGAAGAUGUAUUAUUCCGNGUAACAGCGGAAAAACUCNUUCAGUNCNUUACGAGAAAUCAUAAGUCUUUGGNUUNUGGGGGGAGUAUGGUNGCAAGGCUGAAACUUAAAGGAAUUGACGGAAGGNCACCACCAGGAGUGGAGCNUGCGGCUUAAUUUGACUCAACACGGGAAAACUUANCAGGUCCAGACGCAGUUAGGAUUGACAGAUUGAGAGCUCUUUCUUGAUUCUGUGGGUGGUGGUGCAUGGCCGUUNUUAGUUGGUGGAGUGAUUUGUCUGGUUAAUUCCGAUAACGAACGAGACCUCAGCCUACUAAUUAGUUAUGCAAAUGAUUACAUUCUUCAUGAAGGGGGUUUCUGUUAUAGCUUUGGGUUUGACUUGGAGAUAUAAUAGAAAAACUCGUUUUCAUUUGUUAGAAAUUUGACGCUUAGGUUGAUGAUUUCGAUAAUGACUUCUUAGAGGGACACUUGGUGUUUAACCAAGGGAAGUUUGAGGCAAUAACAGGUCUGUGAUGCCCUUUAGAUGUUCUGGGCUGCACGCGCGCUACACUGAUACGAUCAACGAGUACUGAAGACCUUGGUCCGAAAGGAUUGGGUAAACUUUUGAAAUCGUAUCGUGCUGGGGAUUGAUAAUUGCAAUUAUUUAUCAUGAACGAGGAAUUCCUAGUAAGCGCAAGUCAACAGCUUGCGUUGAUUACGUCCCUGCCCUUUGUACACACCGCCCGUCGCUCCUACCGAUGUUUGGUCCGGUGAAAUCUUAGGAUUCGUAGCAUACACUUAUUUUUGCUCUUUUGUGAAGAUGAGUUUGCUGUGGAGAAUUUGAGUAAACCUUGCCAAAUAGAGGAAGGAGAAGUCGUAACAAGGUAUUCGUAGGUGAACCUGNAGAAGGAUC
rnacentral:rRNA from 1 species